rnacentral:misc_RNA from 1 species
ACAAACUUGGUCAUUUAGAGGAAGUAAAAGUCGUAACAAGGUUUCCGUAGGUGAACCUGCGGAAGGAUCAUUAGCGAUUCAUGAGGAAAAGAGAUGUGCUGGCAGAAGUCUUUGCACUGUGCACUCCUUGACCUCUCAAUUUUGAACCCUGUGCACUCUUUGUAGACAUGGAAAUGAAAAUUCCAUGUCUAUGUUUUUUUUUUUGAUGCAACCCUGCAUUUGUAAAAUUAAAUUAAACAAAACAAAAGCACAACUUUCAACAAUGGAUCUCUUGGCUCUCGCAUCGAUGAAGAACGCAGC